AAGGGGCUUCGGAGUCGGAGGUUUGGUCCACCCACCCAAACCUGGGCAAGCUUCCCGCCCCUCUGCUGCCCGGGUGAUUCCUCUAAACUCAGGACGGAACAACCCAAUGAACGUACAUGUUCCAGCCUACUUGUGAUUCACUUCCAUGUUUAUUGAGAGUCUACCAAGUCGGAGGCGUGUGGUCACAGAUAAGAAGAUAGUGUUGAUGCCUCAAAAACUAAGAGGAUAAUAAUAAUAAUCAACCAGGUAAAAUAGGCAGAAUGAAAGUAAGUACAAUCAUUGAAAAAGCAAAUUCCAUAGGUUUGUUAAUUUCUAAGCGUCAGGUUUCUAUGUAAUUAGCUCAGUGGUUUGUUAUGAGGAUCAAAUGAGAUGACACAAAUAAACAUUGAGCAAUGGGGUCUGGUACAUGAUUACAGCACACGUAGCUGUGGUGUUGGUAUCAUUGGUUGAAAAUAAGAAGCCUUUAUCCCCCCCCCCCCCCCCCCGCACAAGGGGAAAUGGAAUAACAACUAAGGGAGGUAGCAUUCAUGCUGACUGUUAAAGUUGAGAAGAAUUUCAGUACAUAGAGAGGUAUCCAUUGUAGAAUCUGUAAACAACUGCUUUUGUUGAUUAAUGAAAGGACAUGGGAUGAAAAACCUUGCUCCCUAAAACAGAACUCUCAGAAGUUUGUUGUCUGAAAUCCUAUCAGUGAGAAUGGAACAUCCCUCUCCUGCCUGGCAGAGCUGAGCCAUGUGGAUCAUUUUGGCACUUUUCCAGUCCAGCAGGUACUCCAUAAAUGUGGGAGUUUCCAGCUGUCCAUUUAUAUUACAGAACGAGGCAGUAGAAACGCUAAAUGGGAGCAAGUGGGAGCUCAGCUCCUGUGAGCAGGGCUGCCUGAUGGUCUGAAGAAGUACAGCACUUCUCACUGGGCUCACUUCUCACAAGGUGUCAGCAGGGCUGUGUUGCUAUCUGGAGGCUCCAGGCAAGAAUCUGUUUCCUUGCCUUUUCUGGUUUCUAGGGGCCACCUGUAUUCCAUGGCUCAUGGUCCCCUUCCUCCAUCUACACAGUCAGAAAUGGUGGGUUGAGUCCAUUCCACAUCACGCUGACUUUGUUUGUAGUCUCACAUUUUCUUUGACUCUCCCCUUCUGCCUCCUUCUUCCACUUAGAAAAAUUCUUGAAAUUACGUUGUUCCACCUGGACAAUUCAGGAUAACCUCCCUGUUUUAGGGUCAUCUGAUUAGCAACUUAAUUUCGUCUGCAGCCGUCGUGCCCUUUGCCAUAUACCUACCAUAUUUACAGUUCUGGGGAUGAGGACAUGGACAUCUUUGGUGGGGGCAUUAUUCUGCAUAUGGCUUUACUGAGCCUGUUGGAUCCUGUGUCAGCCACAACCACUUCUCUGCAUAUAUUUAGCUAUGGCUUUAUCUGCAUGGCUUUCAUCAGUCAGUAAUCUGCUGUGUGUAUUCUGGAAUCUCUCAUCCACUAACAGAGCCCUUCCUUUUAAAAAAAAUU